rnacentral:rRNA from 1 species
UACAGAGGGUGCAAGCGUUGUUCGGAAUCAUUGGGCGUAAAGGGCGUGUAGGCGGUUUGUUAAGUCAUGUGUGAAAUCCCUCGGCUCAACCGGGGAACGACGCUUGAAACUGGCAAGCUAGAGUACCAAAGAGGGCGGUGGAAUUCCCGGUGUAGCGGUGAAAUGCGUAGAGAUAUGGAGGAACACCAGUGGCGAAGGCGACUUUCUGGUCUGUAACUGACACUGAGGCGCGAAAGCGUGGGGAGCAAACAGG